AGUCAUAUCCCGUUGAAACACCGGUUCUCUACCAAUCACUAAAGUUAAGCAACAUCGAGUCUGGUAUGUACCUAGAUGGGUGACCUCUUGUGAAUACCAGGUGCUGUAAG